rnacentral:rRNA from 1 species
UACGUAGGGGGCAAGCGUUGUCCGGAUUUAUUGGACGUAAAGAGCGUGUAGGCGGUUUGGUAGGUCCGUUGUGAAAACUCGAGGCUCAACCUCGAGACGCCGAUGGAAACCAUCAGACUAGAGUCCGGAAGAGGAGAGUGGAAUUCCUGGUGUAGCGGUGAAAUGCGCAGAUAUCAGGAAGAACACCCGUGGCUAAGGCGGCUCUCUAGUACGGUACUGACGCUGAGACGCGAAAGCGUGGGGAGCAAACAGG